GUGCAUUGUGGGGCGGGAGAGGAGAGUCACCGCUCCGCUAAGCGCCGCCAUCUUGCCCGCGUCCGGAGUUGCUCCCGCUUUCGGGGCCUGCUCCUGCUCCUCGCAGCGCUAAGCGGCGGAAAGGGACAGCACGGGUGGCCCAGCAGGGCGGUGCUGAUGAGUGCAAAGCCUCCUCGCACCUCUCUCGGGCGCCGCUAGGGAAGAGGGGAGGGGUGGUCGGGCGGUCGCCGGCGCGGCCUCUCUUCGCCGGGAUGGGUCGGUCCCGCAGCCGGAGCUCGUCCCGCUCCAAGCACACCAAGAGCUCCAAGCACAACAAGAAGAACCGGAGCCGAUCGCGGUCCCGCUCCCGGGAGAAGGAGCGGGCGCGAAAGCGCUCUAAGUCCCGGGAGAGCAGGCGGAAUCGGCGCCGGGAGUCCCGGUCCCGGUCUCGCUCCAACACGGCCCCUUCGUCCCGCCGCGACCGGGACCGGGAUCGCGAUCGCGCCUCCUCCCCCCCCGACCGCAUCGACAUCUUCGGGCGCACGGUGAGCAAGCGCAGCAGCCUGGAUGAGAAGCAGAAGCGGGAGGAGGAGGAGAAAAAAGCGGAGUUCGAGCGGCAGCGGAAAAUUCGUCAGCAAGAAAUUGAAGAGAAACUCAUAGAGGAAGAAACUGCUCGAAGAGUGGAAGAGCUCGUAGCUAAACGCGUAGAAGAAGAGUUGGAGAAAAGGAAGGAUGAGAUUGAGCGAGAGGUUCUCCGCAGGGUGGAGGAGGCAAAGCGCAUCAUGGAAAAACAGUUGCUCGAAGAACUCGAGCGACAGCGACAAGCUGAACUUGCAGCACAAAAAGCCAGAGAGAGGAAGCUGGCGCGUAUGGCAGCCGAGGAGCACACUCUGCAGGACACUGGACAAGACAGUAAAUAUUCAACUUUUAAUGCUGAUUAAAGGAGUAUAGGUAAAGAAUACGUAGGUAUACUUAAUUGGUGAGACAAACUAUUCACUUUAUUUAUAUUUUCUGUAUUACUUUUUAAUUUGGUAAAUACUAUCCAGUUUUUGUAGUUGUCCUUGUUGAUUUGUGUGAUAUUAAAAUUCUAGUAAUAAAUUGUCAGGAUUCUAUGAUUAGGGAGGGUUUAGUUGGUUGCUGUUUGGACUGGGCGGGAUGAUGUAAAUUGAGUACUAGAAACCAGUUUUAGUGGCUGCACAAUUUACCAUUGAGAGACAGAAUAGGUGGCUGUAAAGCUGCCACUUAAAGUCAGUUCACAAAAUAAUUCUGAGAAAGAUUAGCGAACAUGCAGAAAUCAAUAUUUUACUUUACUAACAUCUUGCCCUGUCCUCCCCUUUAGGAAGAAGAGCGUGCAAAGCGUGAGGAACUAGAGCGAAUACUAGAAGAGAAUAAUCGAAAAAUUGCAGAAGCACAAGCUAAACUGGCUGAAGAACAAUUGAAAAUUGUUGAAGAACAAAGAAAGAUUCAUGAGGAGAGGAUGAAACUAGAACAAGAGAGGCAACGUCAGCAAAAGGAAGAGCAAAAAAUUAUCCUGGGCAAAGGAAAGUCUAGGCCAAAACUGUCCUUCUCACUAAAAAGCCAGGAUUAAAUUGCAACUCUGAACUCCUAAAAGAAAAAAAAAGUAUCAAAAGAAAAAAAAAAAAAAACACAAAACCAAACAACGACAAAAAAGGAAAACAAAAACAAACUUUGUAUGGUAGCUUCAUGUUGAAGUGGUUUUUUUCUCUUUUUUUUUUUUUUUUUUUUUUGUCUUUUUUGAAAGUCUGGAAAGUUAGCUUGUUCUAAUAGGGGCUGUGCUCUGCAAUUCUUAAUUUUUUUUUAAACUUCCAUUAGUGUAAACCCUUACCAGAUCAUCGUUGCCUUUUAGAGGGUCAUCUGUUUUCCUGGAUUUUGUUUCUGUAUUAGUGGUCUGAAGCAGAUCAGGUUGUGAAUUGUGGAUGAUCUGAUAAGGUUUUACUGACCUACUCAUCAGAGUUUGACUCUGAUAAUUGACAGAACUUUAUGCUGGGUAUUGCUGACUUUUUUUUUAAUUUUAUUUUUUUUUAAGUCAGUAAAUACAUGAGUAAAUUGCCAUAGUAUUACUGGACCUCUGUGGUUUAUUGUUAUAUCAGUGUCCUAUGAUACUCUCCCAUUGUUGCGCUUGAUGUUCCUGAUACAGGUAAGGAAAUAGUUUGUCAUUUCUGCUAUGAAUACAUAGAGAGAGUUCAGUAUUGUCUCUGUUAGAUUUGUUUUUAUUACAUUGACAGCAUUCAACCAGCGUUCCCCAUUGUGUAAAUAAACCAAUUUGCUGAAUAAAGUGAAAGUCUUAAAUUC